rnacentral:piRNA from 1 species
UGGCCCAUGGCUUUGGCACAAGCUGUUCCC